UAUUAUUUUAUAUAUAUAUAUAUAUAUAUAUAUAUAUAUAUAUAUAUAUAUAUAUAUANAAUUAUGCUACUAUACUAUCAACAGUACCAAGCCCUUGGUACUAUUGAGUUUUCGGCCGUUGGAUGAAAGGAUGUGCGGUUAGGAUAAUAGUGGUCCUCGGUUAAAUUGAUAGUGGUCCCCUAGGGUUGAGUGGGUGGUUGGUUUAAUAGUAUAAUCUAACGGAUGUAAAUGAUCAAAGGGUAGAUCAAACGGUAGAAAACUCAAUAGUACCAAGAACUUGCUACUAUCGAUAGUAUAGUAGCCGGACUCUAUAUAUAUAUAGUUCCGCUACUAUGCUAUUAAUAGCACGAAACACUUGGUGCUAUCAAGUUUUCCGCCGUUAGAUCUACCUUUUUGAUCAUUUUCACCCGUUAGAUUAUACAAUUCAACCAACCACCCACUCAACCCUAGGGGGUCCACAUCAUACUAACCGUACAUCUCUUAAUCCAAUGGCCAAAAACUUGGUAGCACCAAUGACUUGGUGCUAUUAAUAGUAUACUAGCAUAGUUAUAUAUAUAUAUAUAUAUGUCCGGCUACGGUGCUUGUAAAAGCACCAAGUAUUUGGUGCUUGUAAAUUUUUUACCGUUAGAUCUACAUCUCUAAUCAUUUUUAACCAUUAGAUGAUACUAUUCAACCAACCACCCACUCAACCAUAGGGGGCCCACAUCAUCCUAACCGCACAUCCCUUAAUUCAAGGGCUAAAAAUCUACAAGCACUAAUAACUUAGUACUUUUAAAAGCAUAGGAGC
rnacentral:lncRNA from 1 species